rnacentral:rRNA from 1 species
ACUCCUACGGGAGGCAGCAGUGGGGAAUAUUGCACAAUGGGUAGCAACCCUGAUGCAGCCAUGCCGCGUGAUGUAGCAAGAAUGGGCCUUCGGGUUGAUAAAGCACUUUCAGUAGGGAGGAAGGUAGUGUAGUUAACACCUGCAUUAUUUGACGUUACCUACAGAAGAAGCACCGGCUAACUCCGUGCCAGCAGCCGCGGUAAUACGGAGGGUGCGAGCGUUAAUCGGAAUUACUGGGCGUAAAGCGCAUGCAGGCGGCCUGUUAAGUCAGAUGUGAAAGCCCGGGGCUUAACCUCGGAAUUGCAUUUGAAACUGGCAGGCUAGAGUCUUGUAGAGGGGGGUAGAAUUUCAGGUGUAGCGGUGAAAUGCGUAGAGAUCUGAAGGAAUACCAGUGGCGAAGGCGGCCCCCUGGACAAAGACUGACGCUCAGAUGCGAAAGCGUGGGGAGCAAACAGGAUUAGAUACCCUGGUAGGAUAG